AUUGAACGCUGGCGGCAUGCCUAACACAUGCAAGUCGAACGGCAGCACAGUGUGUAGCAAUACACAUGGGUGGCGAGUGGCGGACGGGUGAGUAAUGCGUAGGAGACUACCUUCAAGUGGGGGAUAGCCCGGAGAAAUCCGGAUUAAUCCCGCAUGUUCUCUACGGAGAAAAGCGGGCCUCUGUUUCAAGCUCGCGCUUGAAGAUGAGCCUACGUCGGAUUAGCUAGUUGGUAGGGUAAAAGCCUACCAAGGCGACGAUCCGUAGCUGGUUUGAGAAGAUGAUCAGCCACACUGGGACUGAGACACGGCCCAGACUCCUACGGGAGGCAGCAGUGGGGAAUAUUGGACAAUGGGCGCAAGCCUGAUCCAGCAAUGCCGCGUGCGUGAAGAAGGCCUGCGGGUUGUAAAGCACUUUUAUCGGGAAAGAAAAGCUUGGGGCUAAUAUCUCCAAGCCUUGACGGUACCCGUUGAAUAAGCACCGGCUAACUCCGUGCCAGCAGCCGCCGUAAGAC
rnacentral:rRNA from 1 species